CCUACGGGAGGCAGCAGUGAGGAAUUUUGGGCAAUGGGCGAAAGCCUGACCCAGCGACACCGCGUGGGGGAUUGAAGGCCUUCGGGUCGUAAACCCCUGUCAGGGGGAACGAAGCCCCGAUGUUUCCCAUCGGGGUGACGGUACCUCCAGAGGAAGCCUCGGCUAACUACGUGCCAGCAGCCGCGGUAAUACGUAGGUGGCGAGCGUUACUCGGAAUCACUAGGCGUAAAGCGCGUGUAGGCGGUAUUUUAAGUCUGUUGUAAAAUCUUAUGGCUCAACCAUAAAAUGUCGACAGAUACUGAAGUACUAGAGUGAGGCAGGGGAAACUGGAAUUCCAGGUGUAGCGGUGAAAUGUGUAGAUAUCUGGAAGAACGCCAAAGGCGAAGGCAGGUUUCUGGGCCUUUACUGACGCUGAGACGCGAAAGCAAGGGGAGCAAACAGGAUUAGAUACCCCUGUAGU
rnacentral:rRNA from 1 species